rnacentral:rRNA from 1 species
CACUCCUGCGGGAGGCAGCAGUGGGGAAUUUUGGACAAUGGGCGAAAGCCUGAUCCAGCAAUGCCGCGUGAGUGAAGAAGGCCUUCGGGUUGUAAAGCUCUUUUGUCAGGGAAGAAACGGUGAGAGCUAAUAUCUCUUGCUAAUGACGGUACCUGAAGAAUAAGCACCGGCUAACUACGUGCCAGCAGCCGCGGUAAUACGUAGGGUGCAAGCGUUAAUCGGAAUUACUGGGCGUAAAGCGUGCGCAGGCGGUUUUGUAAGUCUGAUGUGAAAUCCCCGGGCUCAACCUGGGAAUUGCAUUGGGGACUGCAAGGCUAGAAUCUGGCAGAGGGGGGUAGAAUUCCACGUGUAGCAGUGAAAUGCGUAGAUAUGUGGAGGAACACCGAUGGCGAAGGCAGCCCCCUGGGUCAAGAUUGACGCUCAUGCACGAAAGCGUGGGGAGCAAACAGGAUUAGAUACCCUGGUAGUCCCAUG